UAGGGAAUCUUCGGCAAUGGACGAAAGUCUGACCGAGCAACGCCGCGUGAGUGAAGAAGGUUUUCGGAUCGUAAAACUCUGUUGUUAGAGAAGAACAAGGACGUUAGUAACUGAACGUCCCCUGACGGUAUCUAACCAGAAAGCCACGGCUAACUACGUGCCAGCAGCCGCGGUAAUACGUAGGUGGCAAGCGUUGUCCGGAUUUAUUGGGCGUAAAGCGAGCGCAGGCGGUUUCUUAAGUCUGAUGUGAAAGCCCCCGGCUCAACCGGGGAGGGUCAUUGGAAAAUGGGAGACUUGAGUGCAGAAGAGGAGAGUGGAAUUCCAUGUGUAGAGGUGAAAUGCGUAGAUAUAUGGAGGAACACCAGUGGCGAAGGCGGCUCGCUGGUCUGUAACUGACGCUGAGGCUCGAAAGCGUGGGGAGCAAACAGG
rnacentral:rRNA from 1 species